GCUGUGCAAUAUGAAUGGUGAAAUAAAGCCAGCAUCUUCUCAAUCUCUUUCUUUAUGAUGUUGACCCACAGACCCCAGCGUGGGUGGACUGUCAUCCAGGAUGCACAUCAUGAACCACUUCAUUGCUCAGAGGGAAAGACUUCAAGAACAUGUUUAUCUCAAGGCAGUGCUAUUUCAUGUACUGCAGCACCCCCUUGGAUGGUCUAUUACCCUGAACAUCUCUAGUGCCUAAAGAAGAGAAAAGAGCAAAGAAAAAUAUUUGCUGGAUCACCAGGAACGUCUGGCUGCACUUUUCAAUUUGCUAACACAAGCACUCUUAGCUGCAUCCUGCCAAUGACUAUCAGCCAAGGAAUCUGCCAUCAUUUUAGGAUAUGUGCAUGAUUGCAAGAAAGGGGGAAAGAUAAUCUUAUGAGAAGACCAUGUCUUGGAAGAAUGUGCCUUGUGCUGGUGGGUGUAGUGAGCCACAGCAGAAGACAUUGUAAGGAGACAGUGUCUUUGAGCAGAGUAUAAUCACAGACCUUGACUGUAGAGACCUGUAUGUUAGCAUGAGGAACAAGUAUAGAACCUGUACUGCGACUGUCUUUGACUCAUUCCUAUGGCAAUGUGUAGGAGCAUACUGCUCUCAGUGAACAUCAGUGAGUACUGGAUGAGCUUGGCUUAUUAACUGCAACAGAGAAGCUUUACAUGGUUCCCAGACAGUGCAUGUGGAUGACUCUAUCUAUAAGUAUUGCUUUGUCCUGAGAUUAAGCAGCCUACCUGCAUGAAACAGCCCUUUACCUGACAGCAGAAAUGAUUAAUGGAUUUGUUUACCUCUAAGAAAAUCUGGUAAAUGGCAAUGCACCUGACCAUGGACAGCAUCUGCAGAGUGUGCCAUGAUCAGCGUGAAAGUGCUUGUCUGAUGCUGCAGCAACCAGCAUCCCCAGCAUCACCAAGGACAUCAGAUUGCUAUUUCCUAUUCUAUUGCUUCCAUUAACAUCAGAAAGGACAUAAGUUUAUUAUCACCUUUUCUACCAUUUUCUUGCUAUCACCUUUUCUACUAUUUCUAUGCUUUCCACAAUAAACUAGUUAAUUAGCA